rnacentral:tRNA from 1 species
GCGGGUAUGGCGGAAUUGGCAGACGCGCCAGAUUUAGGAUCUGGUGGACAUCCGUGCAGGUUCGACCCCUGUUACCCGCACCA